rnacentral:rRNA from 1 species
GAUGAACGCUGGCGGCGUGCCUCAUACAUGCAAGUCGAGCGAAUAGAUGAGGAGCUUGCUCCUCUGACGUUAGCGGCGGACGGGUGAGUAACACGUGGAUACCCUACCUAUAAGACUGGGAUAACUUCGGGAAACCGGUGCUAAUAUCGGAUAAUAUAUUGAACCGCAUGGUUCAAUAAUGAAAGACGGUUUUGCUGUCACUUAUAGAUGGAUCCGCGCCGCAUUAGCUAGUUGGUAAGGUAUCGGCUUACCAAGGCAAGGAUGCGUAGCCAACCUGAUAGGGUGGUCGGCGACGCUGGAACUGAGACACGGUCCAGACUACUACGGGAGGCAGCAGGAGGGAAUCUUCCGCAAUGGGCGAAAGCAUGACGGAGCAACGCCGCGUGAGUGAUGACGGGACUCGGAUCGUAAAACUCUGUUAUUAGGGAAGAACAAAUGUGUAAGUAACUAUGCACGUCUUUACGGUACCUAAUCAGAAAGCCACGGCUAACUACGUG